rnacentral:rRNA from 1 species
UACAGAGGUCUCAAGCGUUUGUUCGGAUUCAUUGGGGCGUAAAGGGUGCGUAGGCGGCACGGUAAGUCGGGUGUGAAAUCUUGGAGCUUAACUCCGAAACUGCAUUCGAUACUGCCGUGCUUGAGGACUGGAGAGGAGACUGGAAUUUACGGUGUAGCGGUGAAAUGCGUAGAUAUCGUAAGGAAGACCAGUGGCGAAGGCGGGGUCUCUGGACAGUUCCUGACGCUGAAGCACGAAGGCCCAGGGGGAGCAAAACGGGG